rnacentral:lncRNA from 1 species
CAUUGUCAAUCAUAUAUUGAGUAUCCAGAUGAUGAAUACGGCGAUGUUGUUUUUUGGGAACAGCUUAUAAGGGCAAUCAAAUCCUGCUAGUGAAUAUGUCCUGUUUGUAACGUAUCGUUAACUAUGUAAAAGGACUUCCGGUAUGCAUUUGGGAUUUUAUUUGUGUUUAAUUAGUUGUUUUGUCUAGAGACAUUAUGUAAAUAUUAUUACUUCGUCUCGACUACAUGAAUCAUUGCUUUAGCAAAUAUAAAUAAUUGAUUUAAUUUUGUAAAUCAUAUAUUAAGUAUCCAAAUGAUGAGUACGGCGUUGUUGUCUUUUGGGAACAGCUUCAAAAGGCUAUCAAAUCCUUCUAGUAGAUAAGUCUUCUAGUUAACGCUUCUUAUCGUUAUUUAUAUACAAGGACUUCCAGCAUGCAUUUGGCUUAAUAAGUGUGUUAUAUUAUAUGUUUUGUCAACAAUAGGUAAUAAGAUUAUAGGUUCCUCCGAAAUAGAUCAACUAUAAUAGUGGUAAAUUUGGAUUAGUUUUAUUACAGCACAAUUUGUUACAUCUGACUAAAGUAAAUUACCAGUUAAAAGUCGAUGCGUGUUCUUUUUAAGAUAUGUUACCAUUUUCGAAAACAAUUAUCAUCAGUUAUUACUGUAGAAGGUAUGAAUGACCAUGUUUAAAUGUGUUUUUAUUUUUGUUUUAUGAUCAUUUACCAAAAGAUGUUUUGUUAAACAUUACUUCAUGCAUAUUCCUUCAGUUUAAUUCAGGUAGAGAAAAAUAGUAAUACAAUACCUAUACAAAGGAUAUUUUGGAGUAACAAAGGAAUAAUUUUUAUGCGUAUUUAAUCCGACGAAUAAUGGAACAAUUGUUAACAUGUCAAUCGAUAAUGGGUUACUUUAAUAUGUUUUGUCAUACUUCGACAUAUUAUAGCAAUAACAACUUUUGAAAAAGAUAAAAUAUUACGUUUAAAUUUAAAAUUAGUUAGAUAAAAGAAAUAAGUAGUGGAGGAGUCACUUUAAAAUUUUACUAUUUGUUUUAUUUUUGCCACUUAUGAUAGGGUUAUACAAUCGAAAAUAUUUUUCAUGUUACAUAUUUGAAAUGUAUGCCAGUGGAUCCGAAAAAACACCUAUCUAAUGCAUUUCCUUUAAAUAUUCAACGCUGUCAACUUGAACAUAAAACCCAAAUAACCUAGAAUUGUCGAUAUCUUUAUUUAGAACAGAUGGUGUUUACCAUAUUUUUUAUAAACUUUGUUAAAUAGGUAGUACCCCUAUGCUACUCAGACUAGCAUUUUAGAUAACAUGGAUAAUGCAUCAGUUGUUUGGUUUAAGCUAUUUCUAAUGCCUUGCACCCUCUUAUUGAGGUACAACAAAACUAGAUAACAUUAAAUGUUAAGGCAUUUAUUUCUGCUGUAUAUUUACUAAUGUUAAAUAUGUUAAAAAAAAAAAUUUCAACAAUUUCAUAUUAUAUAUAUAUCUGUAACAUUAUCUUAUUAUCAUGUUCAUGCUCAUGUUACAUAAAAUAUAACAUCCAUUUGUGUUUUACUUUGAUUUUCAUACCUUUUUCUUCAACGGUGUGGUGUAUCUUCCUUUAAAAAAGGCUUGAUGAAUUAUAGGUGAUUGCUGUCCAGUUUAAAGAGAAUGUUGGCAUAUUCAGGAC